rnacentral:rRNA from 1 species
UGGGGAAUCUUGCACAAUGGGGGCAACCCUGAUGCAGCGACGCCGCGUGAGCGAUGAAGCCCUUCGGGUCGUAAAGCUCUGUCUGGAGGGAAGAAAUGAUUGGGAGCUAAUACCUCUUGAUCUUGACGGUACCUCUGAAGGAAGCACCGGCUAACUCCGUGCCAGCAGCCGCGGUAAUACGGAGGGUGCAAGCGUUGUUCGGAAUUAUUGGGCGUAAAGCGCGUGUAGGCGGUCUUUUAAGUCUGAUGUGAAAGCCCCGGGCUCAACCUGGGAGGUGCAUUGGAAACUGGGGGGCUUGAGUACGGGAGAGGAGAGUGGAAUUCCGAGUGUAGGAGUGAAAUCCGUGGAUAUUAGGAGGAACACCGGUGGCGAAGGCGGCUCUCUUGACCGAUACUGACGCUGAGACGCGAAAGCGUGGGUAGCAAACA